UUCGGGCGCCGGCGAGUGGCGAACGGGUGAGUAACACGUGGAGACCUAUCCUUUGGUGGGGGACAACAGCUGGAAACGGCUGCUAAUACCGCAUACGCCCCAAGGGGGAAAGAUUUAUUGCCGAAGGAGGGUUCCGCGUCGGAUUAGCUAGUUGGUGGGGUAACGGCCUACCAAGGCGACGAUCCGUAGCUGGUCUUAGAGGAUGAUCAGCCACACUGGGACUGAGACACGGCCCAGACUCCUACGGGAGGCAGCAGUGGGGAAUAUUGCGCAAUGGGGGAAACCCUGACGCAGCGAUGCCGCGUGGGUGAAGAAGGCCUUAGGGUUGUAAAGCCCUUUCAGUGGGAACGAUAGUGACGGUACCCACAGAAGAAGCCCCGGCUAACUCCGUGCCAGCAGCCGCGGUAAUACGGAGGGGGCGAGCGUUGUUCGGAAUUAUUGGGCGUAAAGCGCGCGUAGGCGGUUUAUCAAG
rnacentral:rRNA from 1 species